AGAGGUCCAUAUCAAAGGUCGACAGCUAACAAAAUAAACCUACAAAGGCAUCAAUAAAAGCCUUGAGGACGGAGGCCCUGGGCUGCUCCCAGGAGCAUCAUGCCAGCCCCCUGUCUCCCUUAUCCAUCUUUAGUCAACAUGGAGCCACCUGACAAGCAAUAAUCACCAUUAAAACAGCCGACAGUGAGGUAUCCACAGAUUGCCGAAAGGUCCAUCCUGGCACCAGAAGCGACCAGGUCAAACCUCACCAGAAGAGGCCGAGUUGGACUAGAAGACUUGCCAGGAGGAAGGACAGCCUGUGCUCCAAAGGUUCAAAAAUGGGCCAGAGCAAAGUGACCUGGAGCAGAGAUGAGGGACACUGGGAAGGAUUUACACGAUCCAUCAGCAUUCGUUUUAUAGGUGAGAGGAGCUGCUCCUCCAAGGCAGUGUGUUCCCUGGGAAAGUUCCUCCACCUUUGUAUAUGGAUACGAGUACUUGUGAUAUUGGAGUCAACAGAAAAUGGACCUUGAAUUUCUCUGCUUCUUCACCCCCCUCUCCCUUCCUCCAAUCCAAGCCAUUGACAUGUUUGCUAGCAGUGUUCUGAGAAGCCAUGCCUCUGAGGGACAUCAGUGGUGUAUAGCAGCUCUUCUGGAGAAGGACAAUGUUCUGAAGACAAUGCCCACCUUGGCCUUGACAGAACACUCUUUAAUAAUCCCCAGAGAUUCUGCCAUUUGAGCAAAGCUGUCAUACCCAAUGGAUUUUCCUGUGGUCCACCCAUGGAUGGACUCUCUGGCCAAUGUUCUACUUCCUGUUAUCUUCUACUCGGAGACAGUUCAUCAUCCACAAGGCUGUUGAAUCUUCAUCUGGCUUGCAAAACCCCUCAGAGGUGUCUUUCUGUAUGGAGAAGAAAUGGCCAAAGGCAAUAUUAGAUGCUGACAUGAACCCUCUGGAGCUGGGCUGGAGUUGGAGACAUCAGGAUGAACCCCCUAUUUAGCUUAAUGAUAAGACAGAUACCUGCAUACAGACAGGUUAGCAAACAUGCACACUUUCCCCAGCUGUGUCCCCCAAGAGGGUCUGGGAAGGUGGUACCCCAGUAACAAAUACAACCUAAGUGCCCAGGUCAUGAUUUCUAAACACCAUUCUCCAAUAAAAGAAAUCAGAACUCCUUGGAGAAAUACAAGAUUAGGCUGUAGGAUUCUAGGAAAAUAUAAGAUGAGCCUUACAAGUGGCAAAAGAUCAGAGUUUAUUUUAUUUUUAUUUUUAUUUAUUUAUUUAUUUAUUUUAAGGCAGAGUCUCACUUUGUCACCCCCUGGUAAAGUGCUGUGGCAUCACAGCUCACAGCAAACUCAGACUCUUGUGCUCAAGCAUUUCUCUUGCCUCAGCCUCCUGAGUAAGCUGGAACUGCAGGCACCUGCCACAACGCCCAGCUAGUUUUAGAGAUGGAGUCUCACUCUAGCUCAGGCGGGUCUCAAACUCGUGAGCUCAGGUAAUCCACCUUGGCCUCCCAGAGUGCUGGGAUCACAGGCGGCAGCCACCGUGCCCGGCCAGAUCAGAGUGUUUAAAAAAAAGGACAGCAGCAUGUCGAAAGGACAGAAGGGUCAACCUGAAAGAGCUGCUGAGGGCCAAGGUUAGAACAAGCUAAACGAUAUAAUAAAUAACAAUUGUAUUGGACUAUAACCCCCCAAAUAAAAUAAAUACCCCAAAGUCUAUGCGGAUAUAAACACAUGCUUGAAUAAGUAAAUAAAUCAGUGUUUUUCAACCAUUUUUAUCUUAUGGCACACUUGAACCUAUAGUUUAGCUUCUGUGGCACACCUAAAUUAUGUUCAUAAAAAAAAAAAGAGUAAAAAAAGAAUAUACUUACUGUGCUUUGAACUUCUUUUGAAAAUAAUUCAAUGAUCUUUAAAAAAUUUCACAGAACACCUAAGAUUCUCUUACGGCACACAGAUUGAAAAUCAGUGAAAUAAAUAGUGGAAAUGGUAAAUCUUUUUUUUUUUAAAUAGCUUUCUAAUAACAAAUGUAAAAAGAUGAGGGAAAUAGCAAAUUACCUUCAGAACACCAUUAAAUAUCACCACCAGUAAUAACUGCCUCAGGCUAGGUCUUCUGAUGAAGGUUUAAAUGAGUCGAUGAAACUUUAAACAGGAUAUUUACAUGACCUCAAACUUUGUCCUCCCAAAUAUGUAUUCAUUGCUGUGUUGGUUUUGAUAUAUGUCCUAAGUGUCUUGAUAACUCUUUCCUGCAGGAGGUGGAAUUAAAUUCCUUCCUCUAGUGUGGGCAAGAGUUGUGACUCACUUGUAAUGACUUGAGUGUGGGGAGGGACAAAGAGCAGUUAAGAGUGAGGAGAUCUGGCCGACAGGUGAGUAUCACCUGGGUGGGCAUGUUGAUAUCAUGGACCCACUGGUAUCAUACGAUGAGAUGCAAAUCAUUCCUGUGCAUUCUUACCCCACAUCCAUAACCUCAGUCUAAUCAUCAGAGAAACAUCAGACAAGCCCAAGCUGAAGCGCAUUCCACAAAAUACCUGACCGGUGUCAAGGUCAGGGUCACGAACAACAAUGCAAGGAAAAGAAAC